rnacentral:lncRNA from 1 species
GUGAUUUGUGCUCUUGUUUAUAUGCUACUGAUACUCCAAAGAAGAGUUCUCAUGCCCUCUGAAGUACUUGUGUUUCUGUCCCUCCACAAAACCCAGCAUUAGACGAUACGGAGCUAACUUCCAAGUCCUUCUGUUAUCAGCUACAACUCUACUGCAUCUCGAGGAUCUCAAACAGUAAGCACCAUUGGCCUCUCUCUACUAAGUGAACUUGUGGCAAAACUCCACCAUGUAGAACUACCUCACAAUGUAUCAGCUAGUCAUGACCAUUACCUUUCCUUUUUCGGCAAAGAGAAUACAAAAUGAUGUAAAUUAUCUCACUCCUAAAAGUCUCAGCAACGCCUCUUGAGUUUUCAUCCAAACACAAAAUAUCCACUCUUUUUGGCCAUUGUUAAGCCUAACACAAUAGUGUCUAAAGAUGUACAUAAAUUGCAAACUAAAAUAGUUACCGUACAGACAGAAUAUAUAUUAUAAGUGAAAACAAUAGUCAUAGGUGUGGACACUAUAUGGGUUGGAUUGGAAACCGGUUUGGGCGAAAUCCAACCCAAUACAACUAUUGAAACCGAACUAAACCAAAUUGGUUUGGGUUUAAUUCGAUUUGUUAGUCGGUUUGGACUUCAGCCCAAAUUAAAAACAAAUCCCUGUCUGCUAUUUGUUUGGCACGUGUAUUAAAAGACAUAAUGAAAACUUUUAAGGGUCUAUUUUCACCAUUGUUAUCCCACAUAUCCAAUAGUUAUGCCAACAAAAUAAUUACACCAAAAUAAAAGCAUGGCUACAUUUACCAUUGAUCCAAGGAUUUAAAAUUUAAAAUUAAACAGCAUGUUUUGUAAAUAAGAUCCACAAGCAGGGGUGGGAAAAUAAUCAGAAAAUCUACCAAUGUGAGUCGGUUCAAUUUGGAUCAGUUUGGUUCAAUUUAUUUAAAACUAUUAAGAAGUUGGGUCAGUUGCAGGUUAAGCAACCUACCCGUUUAUGCACCAACCUAAAUCAAUCAUAUAAUAUAUAUUUGAAUAUAAUUUUAAAAUGUAAUUUUUUAACUAAAAAUUAAAAAAUAAAAAUAAACAAAACCUUAUCAUCUCUAAAUUUCAAGAAGCAAAGAAAAUAAACCUUAGCAUCUCUUGCCCACCAUUGCUAGUGCCAUCAUCCAUCUUCAUUGGCCAUUGGCCAUCUCUCUUACUCGUGUCAUUUCUCGACUAUCUCGCCUUAAAGGAGUCAUCUAAUUUGACUUGAUGUUGCCUUGAAAGUCGGACCCAUUUGACGUCAUCACAAAGACUCAAGUAAGUUCCUUCUCAUCCAAAAUUUGUUAUUUUUAUCAAAAUUAGUUGCUUCUUCAUCCGCACGAUUGAUUAAUUGAGCAAAUUAUGUAGUUGACUAUGCUUUUGAGUUUUUCUUUUAUUUUUAUAGAUUUUUAGAUCUUUUAUCUUUGAAUUUGUAGUAUACUUAUUUGAAAUAAUUUUGUUUGUUAUAGUUGAUUGAUAAUUUAUUAGAUGAAGAUGUGUGUUUGAUGUUGGAUUAGGUUUCCAUUUGUUCCGUUGCAAAGUUGUGGCUACUUGCAUGUUAUGGUUGCUGAUUUUGGACUGAGAAUAUCUUUAAAUUAUGAUUGUUGAUUGAAAAUUUGGAGUAUCCAUGUCAACCAUCUUUCUACUCGUAGGUAAUUUGGUUUUGGUUUUUGAUUUUCUGGAUUCUUUCUUCUAUUUUAAUUUGGAAGAGGUAAAUGUAAUGUCCAAUUUUAUGAUCUAUGAGAUGUAUUUUUCAGUAUGUCUCGUUAGUUUGCUUGAUGUUCAGAAGGAAGAUAAGGUUAUUUAGAUAAUUUUGAUUCUUGAUUGAAACUUGAACGAUGUAGGUUGGUAAAUUUAAUAAUUUAUUCUUACUUAUCAAAAUUGCUUAUUAAAAUCAUCUUAGUGUGAGUGGUUUUAUUAAAUUAUAAUCUGAGCUGUAUAUUUUGAUUAUGAAGUUGAUUAAUAAUUUAUUCUUACUUAUUAAAAUUGUUUUUUUUUUAAAUCAUCUUAAGUGUGAGUGGUUUUAUUAAAUCAUGAUCUGAGAUUGUUUAUUUUGAUUAUGAAGUUUUUUUUUUAUACUUGUGUUUUCCAUAAGGUUAAGGACAUGUCUAUUUUAUGCAGAUUUGAAUAUGGAUAUUGAUGAUGAAUAUCAAUAUUUCGGUAGAAUCCCAACAUGUAUAGAGGGUGUUUCAUAGGGAUUAAAAUUNNNNAUUUUUUAGUAGAUUGUGAUAGAAAUUUUUGAAAUGUGUAGUUGAUUAGUUGUGGAACCACAAAGGAUGUAAUUAAUAUUGAUUAUUUGACAUUGACUUAAAUUAAAAUUAGAUUUUAAUCCGAACCAAACAAGCUUAUAUUAUCCUCCGGUUUCACCUUUAUGUUUAGAAAAGAGAAAAAUAAAGUUUUCGAAUCAUUUUACAAUAGGAGACUCAAAGCGGAAGAUUUUUAUUGUGAGCGCAUAUAUUGUGGGUAGUUUUAUGCUUGAGAGGUUAAGAAGUGCAAGACAAGUAUUUUGAAAGCUCAUUUGGUUACUCAUAUUAAGAGGUAUCCUAGAAGAGUUGAAGAUAAAAGACAAAAAUCUCAAGUUCUAAUAAACUGUUUGAGUGUGAUGCAAGCAAUCUUCUUGUUAUUUAGUUUAGCAAAGAAGCGUGUAGGUUUUAUGUGUUGAAAUGGUAAUUAUUGAUGAACUAUUCUUUUUAAUUUUAUAGAAAGAAUUUUAUUUAAGCAGUUUUGUAUCCUUGCAUGUCCUAAGUUUAGUUGUUCAACUCAUAAGAUUAAAAAUAUUUAACUACUAUUUUAGGAUGAGAAUUGGAGUUAAGAAAGAUUCAUGCUGCUCAACGUUAAACAGUUCACUUACUAUAGAUGCUUGGACAUCCAAUCAGAAUAUAAACUUGUUUUUGUCUCGUAUUUUCAAGCUUAAGAAAAAACAAGCUGCAAAAUAUUUGUUGAGAUAAAAAAUGACGCUAGAAGAUACUUGUUUUGUAAAAAUGUAGAUGACAAAUGGUUUGGUGUCUUUAAUUGGUGAGUGAUACAUGGUAGCUAGUACCUUUUCCAAACUCGCAAAAAAUGCUUAGGUGGACUAUGAGAAAUAUGUAAUUUAUAUUUUGAAUGGAUGUCCAAGUGUCUGUAAUAAGUGAUACUUUUUUGAUUUUAAGCAAUAAGGAUAUUUUUUCAACUCCAAUUUCUUAUCCAAAUAGAGUUGGUAAAUUUCUCUAAUAAUGGUCCUACGAGAUGGAGUAUUAAACCAAGGACAUGCUACACUAAAAAACUAUCCAAAUCUCAUUCCUUCGCUAAAGCUAGAAGGGGUAGUUCAUGUUACAUUUUACCACAUGCAAGUAUGCCUGCUUCCUUUUUAAAGCCAAUAGCCUAGAAGAUUGGUCCUAUUACCCUCGAGCUGUUUAAUGAGUAACCAAAUGACCUUUCAAAGUACGUGUCCUGUGCUUUUUAGCCUCACAAGCAUAAGAUUGCUCCCAAUAUUUGCUCUCAUACUUAACAUCUUCCACUUUUGGAUCCUACUAUUGCAAAAUAAUACCACAUCCAAAGUUUUCCUAUUUUUCUCUCUUCCCUAAACAUGAGGUUGAAAGUGGAGGAAAAGUUGUAGCACUUGUACAAGUAUUUGUUGUUGCUGAGUAUCCACUGGUUUUUGAAAUUCAUCAUCAAUAUCCAUAUUCUAAUCUGUACAAUAUAGGCUUGUCGUAUUAGGAAAAACCGUGGAUAAGUAAUAUAGAUGCCAAAUAAGCAGUUCAUAUCAUAAUUUAAUCAAAAUACUUGCACUACGAUGAUUUUAAUAUGAUAAAGUAAGAAAAAAUGAUUAAUUUGCCAAACUGAGACAUUUUUUAAUCAAGAAUCAAUUUUAUCUAACAGCCUUGAGUUCCUUUUGUUCAUUAAGCAAUCUAAUAAGAUAUAAUGCAAAAUCUCAUAGAUAAUACAAAACUGGAUGUUAUAUUUGCUUCUUUCAAAUUAAAACAUAAGAGACAAUCCAAGUAAACCAAAUCACCUAGGAGUUGAAAGACUGUUGACAUUGAUAAUAAAAAAUCAUAACUGGAUAUUCCUAUCAAUCUAAAAUUAGCAACUGUAAUGGACAAUCAACCACAACUUUGCAUAGGAACAAAUAGAAAGUUAAAUCCAACAUCAAACGAAAAUUUGUCUAAUAAAUAUUGAUCUGCUAUGCUAGAGGAAAUUAUUUCAAAUUAGCAUAUACAAAUUCAAACAUAAAGAAAACCUGAAAAACCUAUAUAAUUUUGGAAAAAACUCAAAAAGUAUAGUGAGACACAUCAUUUGAGGAAUUAAUCAAUCUUCGGCCAAUGAAGAAGCAACUAAUUUUGAGAAAAAGAACAAAUUUUGAAUCAGAAGGAACUUACCUGAAUCCAUUGGAAUUACGUCAAACAGCUUCAACUUUCGAGAGAACAACAAAUCAAAGUAGUUGACUCCUUCAAGGCGAAAUGGCGAAACGACCGAGAGACAGCGAGGUGAAGACGAAUAGUGACAAUGGCGGGCUAGAGACAUUGAGGUUUCUUUUUUUUAUUGUACGAUGGAUUGAGGGAGCUUUAGGUUUUUUUAAGUUAACAGUUUUGAAUUUUAAAAUUGAAUUAAAAUAUGUGUUAUCAACUUGGUUGUUUAACCUGCAAUUGAACCAUGGGUUUAUGUUAAUCAGAUUUCAUAUUCAUAUCCAGCCCAUGGGUUUAUGUUAAUCAGAUUUCAUAUUCAUAUCCAGCCCAUGGGUUCAUAUCCAGCCCGAGGUUUUUUGAGUUAUUUCCCACCCCUACUGCUAUGUAGUAAAUUGUAAUUGUAAAUUAGUGUUCACAAAAGCUGUAAUAAAUUGAAGUAGUGAACAUCUGAAGGGCCCAUAGCCAUAUGUCGUUUCAUGUUUUACAAGGAUAUGGCAUGUUAACCAAAGUGUUGGGUUAAUAUAGAUGCACCUUAAUGCUGAAGGCAUCAAGAAACAAGCUAAAAUAUUAUUGGGAAGUAAUGAAUAUACAUGCUUCAUCCGGAAAAAUAUAGGAUUAGGGUGGGGGUUUGUCCAUUAUACUGAGAAAUCUUCACUUCGGCACCGCCAGUAUCUAGUACAGAUUUUGAAAUUUUCCUGAAAGCAGUGAACUAAUCAACUGAUAUCUUUAUGAAUCAUUGACAACCUCUGCUGCGCCGAAGGACAGUUUACCUUAAUUGCUGCUUAUUCAGGCUAAAUAUUGAUUUCUUAUAACAUUUGAGCACAAUGUUUGACAUGGAAUGUUCUUGCCCCGACUUUAGAUGACGAGUUUUCAUGUUUGAAUUUUGCAUGAGAAUAUAAUGAUCUCUGAAAUUUGAACUCGUGCAUUCUGUGAUGGCAGGUUACAGAGGCAUGAAAAGGGACUGCUACCUGGUGCUUAGACUGCUGUUAAUAUUUGUCCUUGUAACAAUAUCUUGUGCCUUAAUUCUAAGCUAUGCCAAUGCCGAUGCCAAUGUCGACGAUGAUAUCUGUUAUCCAAGACUUUGAGAGGCAGGUUUGCACAGCGAACUUUCAUUUGGUCACACAUGAUCUUUACGAGUAUAUGGUCUCUCCUAGUACUGGAAUACUUGUAUACUACCCUUGACCACUUUCUAGUAAGUCGUUUAUUAUGAUUGUUAUAAGCACUUUUGAUCAUUAUCUUAAGCAUUUCAUGGAAUUACAAGUCUCCCUAGUAAAAGUAGGGACCCUUCGUCUGGGUGGGCCAGGGUGGCAUAGGGUGCCACACGUUUAGAUGAGCUUCUAAGAGGCUUUUUAAAAAGUUUAGUAGACACUUACUUUUCAAACAAGUCAUCUUAUUAGCUCUCUUUAACUUGAACGUGUUGUUCUUUUUAGAUAUGAG